rnacentral:rRNA from 1 species
CUACGGGGCGCAGCAGUGGGGAAUAUUGGACAAUGGGGGCAACCCUGAUCCAGCGAUGCCGCGUGUGUGAAGAAGGCCUGCGGGUUGUAAAGCACUUUAGUUGGGGAGGAAGUUGAGCUUGUGAAUAAUAGGCUUAAUUGACGGUACCCGAAGAAUAAGCACCGGCAAACUCUGUGCCAGCAGCCGCGGUAAUACAGAGGGUGCGAGCGUUAAUCGGAAUUACUGGGCGUAAAGGGCGCGUAGGUGGUUGAAUAAGUUAGAUGUAAAAAGUCUGGGCUUAACCUAGAUGAGUCAUUUGAUACUGUUUGACUAGAGUACAUUAGAGGGUAGUGGAAUUUCCGGUGUAGCGGUGAAAUGCGUAGAUAUCGGAAGGAACACCAGUGGCGAAGGCGGCUAUCUGGAAUGAUACUGACACUGAAGCGCGAAAGCGUGGGUAGCGAACAGGAUUAGAUACCCCAGUAGUC